rnacentral:tRNA from 1 species
GGAGGGAUGCCAGAGCGGACUAUUGGGCCACCCUGGAAAGGUGGUGUGGCUUUCGGGUCACCGUGAGUUCGAAUCUCACUCCCUCCU